GUAUUUAAAUUUAAAAGACUGAGUUCAUGGGUAAAAAAAGGAAAUGUGGGCUACAAAUAUAAAAAUUCAUGAUAACACAAUGUGAAUAACCAAUGUAGGAAACAACUACCAGGGUCCCUCUUCUGCUAAAAGAUGUUCUUUACCUUGAAGAUAACAUUCAAGCUCCUAAGUGAAACUUGUAAAAUCCUGCAGGAAGCUUUGCAGUCAGGGCAGGGCUUGUGAUGUUUUAAUGUCUGUGCGAAUAUUUGCAGAACUUCAUUCCCUGAUUUCCACUGAUCUCAUUGGAAAGAGUUUAUUACUAAUAGCCAGUUACCCUGAGAACCUGGGUCAUAAGGUGGAGUAAGCAUGCAGCUGAUACAGCACCAACUUUAUGCAAAUUACAACAAAUACCUCCUCUGUCUGGACACAUGCUUGAUGAGUGAACAGCACCUUUUGAGAAAAAGCAAUGCACACCUUUUUACAAGAAGAUGCAGCCCUGCAACACAGCACACAUUGGAGCUUUGCCAUCACUGCCUUCUCAGCUGGGCACCUCAGGGCUGGGACAAUCUACACAGGUAGAUGGGAACCUUGACACUGUCUUCCUAGCCAGAGACUUUUCGUGGAUUGUCAAUAUGAAUCUACAUUUAAGAACCUCCUCUCAAUAGUCCAUUGAUGCAAGUGAUGGUAUGCUUCUCAGAGGAUAUCUCUGAACAGCAAAAAAACAACUGGAUAAGAAAGAAGGAAAUAAGAUGGCAAAUGUAGAGAAAUAAAGUUCUUCCCCGUUUGUCUGCCAAAGAAUUCUGCUGGGAUUAUGAGAGUAGGUUUUAUCAGUGCUUCCCCUCAUUCCCCUGGGCUUUACAUUAUCAUACCUGACAGCCAACCACCAGCAAAAUGCAUCUCUGUGCCUGAGGGUUUUCCUUGGUGACUAAACUCUAUUAUGCCCAUGUGCUCAUUGGGUCAGAAGUGCUGGAGAACUAAUGCUCCUUCUCCAGCAGUCCUUAACUAAUGAGUAAUGAGGAUUGAUGUAAAAGUAGCGCAGGCGGUUGGCCUCUCAGGUGGGAUAACUCUGCAGGAGGUGUUCUACACAGGCUCCCAGAGUUCCCCAGCAGGAAUAAUUUCAGUUAUCUACAGUGGUUAUCUACUUGGUAACACACCUUUUAUUGCCUCUUCCUUUCCUUGUCUUACUUCCUCAGUCCUUUACUAGUAUUUCCUGGGAUUACUUCCCAAAUAAACUACUUGUUCUAAAUUUUUGUCCCAAAAUAUGAUGCAGAUGAAAUAGCCGCUCUAAAUCAGUGGAUAGAAGAAGCUUUAAAUUAGAGAGGAGUGGGGAGGGACCAAAGCAUCUUGUUGGAAAAAGGAAGGACCAGGAGGAAGCCCAUGUUAAAAAUGUCUCAACAAUGUCUGAUAUUCUAAAGAAGGCUGGGAUGAGUAGAGAAUUUACUAGCUUUAUACACUGA
rnacentral:lncRNA from 10 species